rnacentral:ncRNA from 1 species
AACGAUAAAGGCAAACUCAGAGUGAUCUGGGGGCGCAAAGGAAAGGGUCUUUAAUCCGCUUAGAUGGCAUGUGCCUGAAAUAAAACGCUCUAGGUACGGUAAGAGAUGUUAAAGAUAGCCUUCCUGCCGAAU